ensembl:lincRNA Gm26908 predicted gene, 26908
AGGAUAGGGCCCCCCAUGGUGGUCCUGGUUUUUCUCCCAGCAGGCUGCCUGGAGACAUUUGGCAGAACCUAAGGAAGACAGAGGUCUCCUGGGGAAUUGGUAUCUGUCUAGCAUAAAACGGACACCUCUGUGCUGACUGCUGACGCCGAUCUGAAGGACACCGCCCACUGGCUCCCCAUUCUCUCUGGCCCUCCCUCCUCCCCUCCUCGUCCAGUCUUCUGCUGACGAAGCUGAAGAUCUUCCCACUCCAAGAAUCCUGGCCAUCCCCCUUCACCAGCAGUGAACUUCUUAGGUUCUAAGGCUCUGACCUGGACUCCAAGAUAAAUAUUUAUUGUAGAGGGUGCCGCUGAGCUGCCGAAGGUCCCAACUUCCUGUUUCUCACAAGGCACAGUGUGGGCAAGGGAGCUGAGGACUGGCUACCAGUCCCAUCUCUAUGGGGAUGGGGAGUCUAGUAAACAGUCUUGGAGGAUGCAGGUUGGGAGGAACGGGGAGGGUGGCAAUGGAGGGCUGAACUGCUGCAGCUCUGCUUUGCCAGUCAGGCCGGGGCUGGCUCGCCACCUCUCAGGUUGGAGCUCACUGUGUUCACAAGUAUUCGGAUGGAUGGCUUUACAAAACACGGAGGCACGAGGCGCUAGGACCGCAGGGCAGAAGGGAGUAGCCAAGAACACACGGACUCUUCUAGAGUCCGUAACCAACCCAGCAGUGAGGAGCUGAAGCCAAGUCACCAUAGAUAUACUAGCACAGAUCUCGACUCUGUUUCAUCCCUGGGGCCAUCUCCUGAUUCCAGACACACUGACAGUGAAAACAGAAGAAUGCUGGGAAAGCAGCUGCCAUGCUUGACGCGCUGACACAGAGGGACACAAGGACAGAUCUCAGUGCUCACGUCCUGAGGGCCUUCCAGAGAUGUUCACAAUGGGUUGGUUCAUCUGGGGUUAGAAACUGAAAGCAAAGAAUCUGGCAACAGCUGAAGAGGGGACUUUAAGCAGGUCUAAGAAAACCUCUCAGUAUUAUUAUUAUUUUAAAAGUUUUAUUGCAUUUACUUGUUUAUUUUGUUUGUUCCACAAUGUUGUGUGAAGGUCAGAGGAUGACUUUUGUAAGUUGGUUUUCUUCUUCCUGGGGAGCAGACUUAAGUAAGCAGGCUAAGCAACCUCACUAGCCCACCCUGAUGAUUACUUUUUAACAUGAACCCAGGAGUGGAGGCCCAGCGGGGCAGUAGAGGGCUUUCACAGCAUGUGCAAGGCCUGGUUCAAUCUUAUGUAUCACACACACACAGACACACACACACACACACACACACACACACACACUCUACAAUCACAGAGCUCAGAAGCCGAAAGGAAGUAAAUUACUAUGGAAGCAGUUCCACCUGGAUCUUAAAAAUCACUAGGUUUGGGCUGUUCUCUUGGAAGUCCAAGUUUCCCUCAGAAGAGAAGCAAUUUUAGCCAUUGAGAUUGGUACUGAGCAGAAGGGAAAUUUUGAAAGACAAUUUUUUUUUUCUCUGUGUAGCCCUGGCUGUCCUGGACAACUCACUUUGUAGACCAGGCUGACCUCGAACUCAGAAAUUCACCUGCCUCUGCCUCCCAAGUGCUGGGAUUAAAGGUGUGCACCACCACGCCUGGCUAUUGAAAGACAUUUUCGAGUUAUGUCAU